GAAGAGAAAAAUUUGACCUAAAACUUUAACAUUUGCUAAAAAAAAGAAAUAAACUGGGUCCAGGACAGAAUGUUUAGCAUGUUUCUGGCCAACAAUCUCUUUCAAAUUCCUGCACAGGAAGAUGAAUCCAGUAUUUGCUUAAUUUGAGAAUUAAUAUGCUUUAUUGAUCUGCAAAUUUAUGCAAGGCAUUUAAGUGACUAAAUAAACUCUUUACAUUGUGAGAUAUGUAAAUUUCUAUAAACUCUUUACCUUGUGACAUAUGUCAAUUCCUUGCAUAUGUCGAUGUAUAGAUCAUAAACUCCCAACUUAAUUACAUCUAAAUAUUCACCUAGUAUAAACAGAAACGAUUGUUAUCUUGCUCGAUUCACAAUUAAAGAUACAUGGAAAAUUAAUUGAGUUUUUUUUUUUUUUUCUUAUUUAUUCAAAAACAAACUUCUAAUUGGAUCGUAUCCAAGAUAGGGAUUGUCCUGCUCUUUUUUUUUGUGUGUGUGUGUGUUCACGACCAACGAACCUCAAUUCCAUCCGUAGCGGCAAUUUUACGUACAGGUGCCUGCAACUCCAUGCUCAAAUUAUUGAUAUGAAAAUUUUAAUUAUUUAGUAAGAAUAAUGCUAGAUGUGCCCAAAUUUAUCCCAAAAAUUCAACCAAUAGACACUAUGAACAAAAGUGGUGGAAGAUUUUUCUAAAUUUCUGUAAAAUUUUGUAGUACCGUUUUUAACGCAAGUGAUUAAUGCCAUUUAAUUUUAAAUGAAUCUUUUGAGAUAUGUAUUCAUAGAGUGAUCGUAAUACUAGUAUUGAAAAUCUAUUUGAGAAAAUAAAAUCUCUUGUAUUAAAAAUUAAGAGAAAAUCAUGUAAACCCUGCUCGUAUGGGUGGGGAAAGAAAUUGGGUUACCGUUAGGCUAAAUAAUUGGAAAAAAAAAAACACAAUAACUGAAAUAUUAUAUAUACUAGGAAAUUUGGAACAACCUUAUUCAUGUCUAACUAGACUCAUUGUUUUUAUGUUGUUUGGCAUAAGAGGAUUUGCUGCGUUAAAUGAUUUCAAAGAAGUAAUAAAUAAAAUCACUCAGUCAAAGGUUAAGUGGUCAGGUCUGCUGGCCUCAUAGUUUGAACCCCCGUAUAACAUUGUGGGGGUUAGAAUUUCUUCUUCAAUUAUAACAGAUAAUUAAGUGGAGCUAAUCUUCUCGUUUACGAAAUGUAAGUGUAGCAAAUAUCACUCGAAUAUUAGUGAGGGUAAAGAUUUAGACAGUGCUUCAUAAAAAAUAAUGUAAAUUAAUUUUCAAUAAUAAUCUAAUUAUAAAUAUUAAUAGUAGGCUCAUAUAAUAUGAGUUUUAGUCUGAUUGAAAUAUAAAUAAAUAAAAAAAGUGAUAAACAAACAAGAGAAAUGGUGGUCUUGAACAAGUCCAUAAACAAGGUUACGUCGUCAAAGAGGGAGUCUUAUUAAUUGAAGUUCAAUUACAUUGUAAUCUUUUGUAACUUAGUGGAGUGUGCAAUAGUUGAGAGUGGCUCUGUAUAUUUGGGAAUUUUCAGAACUAUGUGAAAAUUGCUUAUGUUAUUUCUUUAGUUUUAUGCAUUUGCUAAUUUAAUUAAGUUGACUUCAAUUAAAUUGCCUAACUAAGAAAACGGAUCUAACACUUUUUAACAGUAACAUUCAUCACUUCGUUGAUUCCUUUCAUUCGCACAAAUGCUUCUGGUUAAUAAAUCGCACAAUACAGGUUAACAAAAAUUUAUCAAAAUUAGUACGAAAUGUAAUAAAUCAAAUGGUCAAGCAUAUGUCGUGAAGAGGUAUAAACAAAUGAACAAUGUUGGAAGAGAAGAUUUUCGUGAGCAUUUGAGAAGGCUAUGUAGAUUGGAACGCCCGAAUUUGUUGCCUCUCAGAGCUUUCUACUAUAGGCAAGAGGAGAAGCUCUUGCUUUAUGAGUUUGUUGACAAUGGUGGCUUGGCUAGUAAAUUUCAUGGUAAGAAUUUUAACUUCUUUGAUUUGAUUUUAAAUGUUUUAGUUCAUUAACAUGUUUAUAGUUAUAGGCACCCCUUCAUACAUGUCUAUUUGAGAGCAUUCUGUCAGGAGAUCAAGAUUCCUUGGGACAAGAAUUUCUUGUGAGUUCAUCUCGAGUAAAAUUCACAUUGUUAAUUAGCGGUUAAUAUGCAUAAAAAUAAUAGUCAAUUUUUUGCAACAAACUUGUUGAAAAAUAAGAAAACCACUAGCAUUUUGCUAACAAAUGUCAAGGUUAGCCGAAAUGUUGGAUUCAAAUUUGGAGAAUUUUUCAAGAUUGGCCAAAGAAAUACCAAACUCCUUGACAUAUUUGCAUGGGUCAGGUGGAAUAGUAUUUUGGUUAGGUGGAAUAGUACUAACUUCAAGCCUAUAAAUUGAAGCCAUUUCUUCAUUUAAUAGCAUCCCAAAAUAGUUAAGCUUAUAAAUUUCUAAGCUUUUGAGAGAAGUGAGAAAAGUGUGUCUGGGAAAUUUAUCUUUCCUGCAGAGUGAGAUUACUGGGUAUAUUUGGAUUUCUAAGAAGUGAGAUUCGUUACUCAAAUAUUGUAUUAUAUUAAUUGUUAAAUAAACAAUUGUUUUUUCUUGCCUUCGUGGAUGUAGGUUUAAUUACCGAACAACGUAAUUCUUGUGUCCUUUAUUUUUCUAUAAUUAUUUGGUGCGCUUGAUUCUACAUUCCGCGCACAACAAGUGGUAUCAGAGCCGACGUUUCGUACUUAGGGGGAUAUUGUAUUGUUCACGUAUACAGUACUAUUUUCGUAUACAGUACUAUUCACGAAUACGGUGGACACGACCAUUUGUACUUGGGAGACAGUCUAUUGUAAAUAGUGUGUAUUUUUGCAUGUCUAGGAAAGUUCUGUCAACAAAGGCGAUAAGAGUCUAAGGAUUCUGGUUUUUAAUUGGGACCGAGUUCCCGUCCAGUCUCUUGGGAACUUUCCUAGUGCAUUUAUUCACACGAAAUUAACAUCAUAGAGAUUGUUUUUCAAGUGGAAAUAGUUCGUUGAGAAAAUGGUAGAAGGUGAAACUUCCAGAAUUGGAGAGAGAUCUACCGAUACUAUUUCAGGACACUUUAGGUGGGAGGCGAGAUUUAUUAAAUCGCUACUCAGCACCUGUUGUAGGAGGCCAGAAGAUCGAUGUUGAAAAGUUUGAUGGGAAAAUCAACUUCGGCAUGUGGAGGCGCGAAGUUAUGGAUGCUCUUAUUCAAAUCGAUCUCGAUGUUGUUCUGAAAAAUAAAAGACACUUGUAUGAUGAAGAAAUUUGAGAUCGUAUGAACGAGAAAGCCUGUGGUCAAAUCAGAUCUUGUUUGACCAAAGAGGUGAAAUAUUUGGUGAAAGAUGAGGAGUGUGCGAUGACUUUGUAGCGUACAUCGGAGGAAAAGUACUUGCUGAAAAAUCCUGAAAAUCGCCUUCAUGCAAUGAGCCAAGUAUAUGGCUUUCGAAUGAAGCCUGAGGUGUCAAUGCAUAAUCAUGUCUCAAGAUUUGAAAAGUUACUUGCUGAUUUGAAGAAUCUUGAUGAAGAUAUUAAGGAUGAAGUCAAUGCUAUGAUUCUGUUACACUCACUACCAGAGGAAUAUAAUCAUUUUGUGACUUCCUUGACAUAUGGGAAAAGCAUGAUCAUCUUCAAAGAUGUUUGCACAGCAUUAACUUACUUGGAGAUUCGGAAUAAUAAUAAAAAUUCUGAACAAGUAUCGUCUGAAACUUUGGUGAGCAGAGAUUGGGCGAUGGAGAAAAAGAAAAAUCGUGGUGGAAAGAAUUAUUGAUCCAAAUCGAGAAGCAGAAAUAUAGCUCGAGACGAGUGUGCCUUUUGUCAUGAAAAGGGUCAUUGGAGGAAAGAUUGUCCAAAGGCUCAAAAGAGAGACGGGAAGAAACCAGCAGCAGCAAACAUGGCACGAAAAAAUGAAGACUCUGAUUAUUCACUAAAUAUUACUCAUGCAGCGUACGUGGCUAGUUCGAGCAAGUGGAUACUUGAUACUGGAGUAACCUAUCAUUUGUGUCCUAUUAAAGAAUGGUUUACGAAUUUUCGUAAUCUGGAAUCCGGUACAAUUGUGAUGGAGAAUGGUCAACAUUGUCGCACAAUUAGGAUAUGAACAAUUCGACUCAAAAUAUUUAAUGGAAUGAUCAGAGAACUCAAAGAGAUUAGAUUUGUUCCAGCUUUAAAGAAAAAUUUAAAUCAAAAUGAUUUUAAUACUACAGUUAUAUAAAAUUACUGAUACUAUUUCCUAGUGUCAUUAUGACACUGACAUGGGCUAUGUUGAUACUAAAAUUUGAUGUCAGCAAAAUAUAUUAUUGAAACCAAAAUAAUAUUAACAAAGUCAUUUUUCUACUAGUGUGGUCGUUUUAUAGUAUGACUUACUGGACAAAAGAAAAUUCUCCAACACGACCAGUAUUUGACUAAACAGUUGUGGUUCAUGAAAGAAUUUCACAAGAAAGAUACGAAAGUAGCGAGCAAGGGAAUAUGGUCAACAGAGAGCUAAGAAAAUGAGCAAUACACGCAUAUUUUAGGUGCUGAUGAUAGAUAAUUGGCAUCCUUCUCAUCGAAAUUUUCCUAAAUUUUUUAACACCUUGUGUUGCGGGUCUACUAGUGAUAGUUUUGUUGUGCGCGGAAUGCGGAAUCAAGCACACCAAAUAAUUAUAAAAAAAUAAAGGACACAAGAAUUACGUGGUUCGGUAAUUGAACUUACAUCCACGGAUGCAAGAAAGAAUAAUUAUUUAUUUAACAAUUAAUAGAGUACAAUAUUUAAGUAACGAAUCUCACUUUCUAGAAACCCAAAUAUACCAAGUACUCUCACACUUUGCAGGAAAGAUAAAUUCCCCAAACACACUUCUCUCACUUCUCUCAAAAGCUUAAAAACUUAUACGCUUAACCAUUUUGGGAUGCUAUUAAAUGAAGAAAUGACUUCAAUUUAUAGGCUUGAAGCUAAUAUUAUUCCACCUAACCCAAACACUAUUCCACCUAACCCAUGCAAAUAUGUCAAGGAAUUUGUUAUUUUUUUGGCCAAUCUUGAAAAAUUCUCCAAAUUUGAAUCAAUAAAAGACACUUGUAUGAUGAAGAAAUUUGAGAUCGUAUGAACGAGAAAGCCUGUGGUCAAAUCAGAUCUUGUUUGACCAAAGAGGUGAAAUAUUUGGUGAAAGAUGAGGAGUGUGCGAUGACUUUGUAGCGUACAUCGGAGGAAAAGUACUUGCUGAAAAAUCCUGAAAAUCGCCUUCAUGCAAUGAGCCAAGUAUAUGGCUUUCGAAUGAAGCCUGAGGUGUCAAUGCAUAAUCAUGUCUCAAGAUUUGAAAAGUUACUUGCUGAUUUGAAGAAUCUUGAUGAAGAUAUUAAGGAUGAAGUCAAUGCUAUGAUUCUGUUACACUCACUACCAGAGGAAUAUAAUCAUUUUGUGACUUCCUUGACAUAUGGGAAAAGCAUGAUCAUCUUCAAAGAUGUUUGCACAGCAUUAACUUACUUGGAGAUUCGGAAUAAUAAUAAAAAUUCUGAACAAGUAUCGUCUGAAACUUUGGUGAGCAGAGAUUGGGCGAUGGAGAAAAAGAAAAAUCGUGGUGGAAAGAAUUAUUGAUCCAAAUCGAGAAGCAGAAAUAUAGCUCGAGACGAGUGUGCCUUUUGUCAUGAAAAGGGUCAUUGGAGGAAAGAUUGUCCAAAGGCUCAAAAGAGAGACGGGAAGAAACCAGCAGCAGCAAACAUGGCACGAAAAAAUGAAGACUCUGAUUAUUCACUAAAUAUUACUCAUGCAGCGUACGUGGCUAGUUCGAGCAAGUGGAUACUUGAUACUGGAGUAACCUAUCAUUUGUGUCCUAUUAAAGAAUGGUUUACGAAUUUUCGUAAUCUGGAAUCCGGUACAAUUGUGAUGGAGAAUGGUCAACAUUGUCGCACAAUUAGGAUAUGAACAAUUCGACUCAAAAUAUUUAAUGGAAUGAUCAGAGAACUCAAAGAGAUUAGAUUUGUUCCAGCUUUAAAGAAAAAUUUAAAUCAAAAUGAUUUUAAUACUACAGUUAUAUAAAAUUACUGAUACUAUUUCCUAGUGUCAUUAUGACACUGACAUGGGCUAUGUUGAUACUAAAAUUUGAUGUCAGCAAAAUAUAUUAUUGAAACCAAAAUAAUAUUAACAAAGUCAUUUUUCUACUAGUGUGGUCGUUUUAUAGUAUGACUUACUGGACAAAAGAAAAUUCUCCAACACGACCAGUAUUUGACUAAACAGUUGUGGUUCAUGAAAGAAUUUCACAAGAAAGAUACGAAAGUAGCGAGCAAGGGAAUAUGGUCAACAGAGAGCUAAGAAAAUGAGCAAUACACGCAUAUUUUAGGUGCUGAUGAUAGAUAAUUGGCAUCCUUCUCAUCGAAAUUUUCCUAAAUUUUUUAACACCUUGUGUUGCGGGUCUACUAGUGAUAGUUUUGUUGUGCGCGGAAUGCGGAAUCAAGCACACCAAAUAAUUAUAAAAAAAUAAAGGACACAAGAAUUACGUGGUUCGGUAAUUGAACUUACAUCCACGGAUGCAAGAAAGAAUAAUUAUUUAUUUAACAAUUAAUAGAGUACAAUAUUUAAGUAACGAAUCUCACUUUCUAGAAACCCAAAUAUACCAAGUACUCUCACACUUUGCAGGAAAGAUAAAUUCCCCAAACACACUUCUCUCACUUCUCUCAAAAGCUUAAAAACUUAUACGCUUAACCAUUUUGGGAUGCUAUUAAAUGAAGAAAUGACUUCAAUUUAUAGGCUUGAAGCUAAUAUUAUUCCACCUAACCCAAACACUAUUCCACCUAACCCAUGCAAAUAUGUCAAGGAAUUUGUUAUUUUUUUGGCCAAUCUUGAAAAAUUCUCCAAAUUUGAAUCUAAUAUUUUGGCUAACCUUGACAUUUGUUGGCAAAAUGCUAGUGGUUUUCUUAUUUUUCAACAAUUCUCCACAUCGGCAAAGAUUUGUCCAAAUCUGAACCGACUACCAACGGAUCAUCAUCCCCAAAGUGUCUGCAUCUCUAUGACUGCCUACGUACCCAAAAUUUGGAAUCAAGCCAACCGUAGUUCAAAAUUCCCGAAGGACAUGUCUUAACACAAUCGAAGAAUUUGAAUUAGUUUCAAGCAAUGUUGAAACUUAACUCUAAAAACUAACUUCGUCAACAUAUCUGAUGGAUUAUCUUUGAUAUCGAUCUUUCUCAACAACAUAAUACUGCUCUCGAUAAUCUCUCUCACAUAAUGAUAUUUCACAUCUAUGUGCUUCGUCCGAGCGUGAUAUGUUUGAUUCUUCACAAAGAAUAUCGCACUUUGAUUAUCACAGAAGACCGUAAUGUUCUCCUAGAUUACUCCCAAAUCACCUAACAAACCUUUCAAUCAGAUAGUUUCUUUUACAGCUUUAGUUACUGCUAUAUACUCUGCUUCCGUAGUGGACAGAGCAAUUGUCGAUUGCAAAAUCGACCUCCAGCUAACCGAACCUCCACUAAAUGUGAAUACGUAGCCCGUUGUUAAUCUUCGCUUGUCAAGAUCUCCAGCGAAAUUAGAAUCACAAUACCCAACACAUUGUUGACCACAAUCCUUCUUGAAUAAUAACCCAACAUCAAUUGUCCCAUACAGAUAUCAAAGAAUCCACUUUAGCACAAGUCAUUGAUUUUUACCCGGAUUGUGCAUGUUAUCUACUAACCAUGCUCACUGCUUGAGAUAUAUCGAGCCUUGUGCAUACCAUAGCAUACAUAAAAAGAGCUUAAUUUGAAAUGAGGAGCUAGAGGUGUACAUACCAGUUUAGUUUUGUCAUCCAUACCGAAUCUUUCUAACACUUUCUUCAAAUAAGACUUUUGAGUCAACUAUACGCUCUCAUUCUUCUUGUCUUUACGAAUCUUUAUCCCAAGUAUUCUAUGUGCAUCACCCAAGUCUUUCAUCUCGAACUUAGAAAUCAACUGCUUCUUUAAUCUUUCAAUCUCAUCUCUAUUCUUCGAAGCUAUAAGCAUAUCGUCGACAUAGAGUAACAAAUAGAUGAAAGCUUCAUCUAGUAGUCUUCUAAAGUAAAUACAAUGAUCGUGUUCACUUCUGGUGAAUUUCUACCCCUUGUAUAAAUUGAUCAAAUCUUUUGUACCACUGCCUUGACGAUUGCUUUCCAACAAAGAUUUAAUCAACCUGCACACAUGAUUUUCCUUUUCAGCAACUCUGAAACCACAAGGUUGAAUCAUAUAGAUUUCCUCCUCCAAAUCUCCAUGUAAGAACGUCGUCUUAACAUCUAAUUGAGUCAACUCUAACUCAUAUUCUGCAACUAAGGCAAGUAGGAUACGAAUGAAAGUAUGUUUUACAACUGGAGAUAAAACUUCAUUGUAGUCAAUACCUUCUUUUUGAGCAAACUCUUUUGCCACGAGCAUUGCCUUAGAUCGAGGAGUUGUUUAAUUCGAAGAUCCUUACUUUUUGAUAUAGACCCAUUUAUUGCCAAUAACGCUUUCCCCUUUGGUAACUUUAUAAGUUCCCAAGUCUGAUUUUGAUGGAGAGAUUUCAUCUCUUCCUCCAUGACUAACUUCCACUAAUCACUUUCACUGCUGCAUAAUGCUUCACCGAAAGUGUUAGAAAUGUCAUCAUCAAUAACUGAAAGUGCAUAGACUACCACCAUAUCUUUAGUAAGUCAUCUGAGUUUCUUUAAUGAUUAGUGCAACACCGAAAUGCCAUUAGCUAAUCAUGAUGCUGAAGUAAAGAGCAACUUUAAGCAUAAAGCAUAGUCACAGAGUUUUACAUUAAACCCAAUGCUUGGCAGCAAGCAUUUUGUUAAGACACCACAUACAUGGAAUAAUAUAGAGAUUUAAUCUGUUCAUUAGACUAUUUAUUCUCCAUCAACAUUAAGUCCAUUUUUUAAAGAAGAUUCACCAAAGGUUAAUUUUUCAAAAAUAUUUGUUUUUGUGUUCGAUCUUAUUAGGGCUUGUUCAAUCAAAUAAAAUAUGCAAAAACAAAGAUUAGGACUUCACAAGAUAUUAUUAUCUCACUCUACCAUGGCCUAAAAACAAAAAUGCAUUCAAUAAACAAGCCAGCCCAUUAUGCACAUAUAUUUUCCUGAUUAUCCAAUACUCAGCAUAAUGGCUUUGAUGCAGACUCAAAUAAUAUGCAAUAAAUGGAAUCCAAAAAAGGAACAAAAGAAAACUCAUUCAAAAUUUUAGCAGUCAUGUUGGUUACCUCAACAUCAUAUGCCAUUCAACUGCCCUUGCCAUGUUUCCGGGGUUGAUGGAAAAAAACACAUCACUUUCAGCAGAUACAAAUUAGUUGAGUGCGGCCAUUUGAGAUGCAUGAUUGACAAAUGGUUCCAGCUUCUCAACAGAUGCCAACUGUUGCAUAAUGAAAAGUACCCAUCAGACAUCUCCUCAUCCUCACCCCGAGGCGAAUCUCCCCAGCUGAGCCUCAUGAGCCGGUUUCUGGUAAACAUUCUAUAUGAAACAUAUGUCGACUAGAAACAAGGUAUAUACCGACCAGAUACUCGUUAGUCAAAGAAAGCGGACACGAUCUCACGAACUCACGAUAGUUGCGCCAUGCUCCAAACCGCUAGGGAAGACAUGACAUCCCACGUUCGCCCGCGACUCGGGGGUUAGAAUCCAUUAAAACCCAUCAUCACCCGAGAAUAAGGGGUAUGAAGAAUGCUAGGAAAAACAUGGGAUUGUUGCCUAUAAAAAGCCAAGAAAUUGAUGAAAAAAGGACAAGAAAAUUAAGAGAGAAUGGAAAACUCUGCUAAAUUGAAACUAAGUCACAUUCCAUACAAAUCUUUGAGAUACAUUAGGUUGAGAACAUUAUAAAGAGUUCACACAAUUUAAAUUAGAUAGUUUUUUCAUAAACACCUUGUGCUAACUUAAGCAUUCAAUGGUUUACGCCGGCAAAACCACCGGCGUCUCUGAUAUGUUUUGGUGAUCGCAUGCUUAGAAAGAAGAGAAAGGAUGAUUUGAACCCCAAGAGCUCGGGCAAUUGCUAAGGCAGGGAGAGGGCGUCAUCUUCUCCAUUGAUCACACAAGCGUUGGUGGAAGGAUCUGGUCGGGCAAAGAACGAUUAGAUUUCAGCAUCAACAUUUUAGCGCCGUCUGUGGGAAGCUGAAUAAAAAGCUACCACCAAGUUAGUGAUCAUCAGAGAAGUAGCGAACGAUCGGUCAUGGAUGCAAUAAGGAAGGAUGCCAUAGGAGGCGACAAUGAAACUAGUGAAACGAUUACUCUCCGAGAGAUCGCAAAUGAGGCUAGAGAAAGGAUGAUGCAGGAACGAAUGGAACAGAUGGAGAAGCAAAUAGAGACUCUUACAACUAUACUGCAUGAGCUAAGGGAUGAACGGAGAAGGGAUUGUGAAACUGUUGCGGUGAGAGAUGAAGCCAUUACAGAACCCAGCCUCUGGAGGCAUAGAAUCGAGGAGAUUCCUCCGUUGGGAGAGCAACCCUAUUGGGUGCAUCCACAUAGAAGUGCAGGUCGGAUCCCAAGAGAGUGCGUGGAUGAAGGGAGAUACCAAUCUCGCUCUGGGCGAGUUCUGGGAGUUGAUAGCCGAGGAGUAAAUGUUGAGGAAAGUGAGCUCAGACAGCGACUGCAUAAUGCUGAGCAGGAGCGAGACCACGUAAUUGCACGUGAUCCAGACCACACUUUAGAAUUGGAGGGUGAGGUGCGACGAUUGGUGCAAGUGAUGUAUGAGAUUCAAGGCAAGAGAAAGCCGCCAAGCUAGAGGAUAAUGCUAGAUGAAGAGUCUCCGCUAUCAGCCGAGAUCAUGGGUACUGUGAUCCCAAGAGAUUUCCGCUUUCCUGACCUCAAAUACUCCGGGAGAAACAACCCGCUGGUGCACAUUGAGCGUUUCAAUGACAUGACGGGAGUACAGGGAUUAACACCAGCUCAGAGAUGUAGGGUGUUUCCAUUGACACUAGAGGGACGAGCCCGUGAGUGGUGCCGUAAGUGGAAGUAUAGGGAGCUAUUAGCAGAUGUGCCAAGCGUUGGCAGAGCAGUUCCGCGGAGCGGUAGCCCUAAAAGACGAUAGAUGGAAUUGAUGGGGAUAAAGCAAGAGGAGGACGAAUCCCUUCGCGAUUUCAUGAAGAGAUAUCAUAGGGCCGUGCUUGAUUUGGGGGCUUUCAAUCACCCACAAUCGCUGAAAUGAUUAAAAGAAGGUGUGAGGAUAGGCCAAUUGUGGUACAACUUGAGAAAUCCCAUCAUUCAGAAUUAUUCGGCGGGAUAUGAGCAGGCAAGGAGAGAUAUAGAAAUUGAAGAGGAGAAAACGGCGAGAAUAAAGAGAGAACAAUUGGAGGAGUUAAGGCGAAAGGAGAAGAGACCACUGAGUGGAAGCGGGUCGGGAAAGCGAGCUGGAGAAUCAUCAAUAAUGGGGGGAGCAUCUGCUCGAUCCCGCCCUUACACAAUAACUCAAAGACCACAACAGUUCCAACACAGCCGAGCUCAGCCUCAGUGUCCCCCAUUCCCGGAACGGCAGCGAGAAUUCCAGCAUAUGGCUGCCUAUCCAUAUCACAAUACUUCAAGAGUAGUGAAUGCGAUUAACCCCAGAACUGGCAGACCAAGCCAGCCACCCCCAGUCCCAGCUCGGGACGAGUUUCACGACAGCCGAGCAGUCCAAUUGAUCGACCAGAGCUCAACCUAUAAACAAUACACCCCAUUGAAAAUCUCUAUGGAGGAACUAUAUGAGAAGAUUGAAGGACGAGGCCUCCUAUAUCCCCCUGCCCCUGUAACCAAACCAACUCACAAGCGGGAUCAAGGCAUGUUUUGCAAGUUCCACGACACACAUGGUCACACCAUUGGCCAGUGCAGAGAUUUAAAGAACCAGGUGGAAAAUCUGGUGAGAAACCGAUAUCUGGAUGAGUAUGUAGAUGGGGCAUUUCCUAUUAUCAAAUCACAAUAUAUGUUGGGAGGUGGAACUGAAAGGAAUCUGAAGCGUGAACAACCGAUCAUUCGGGUGAUAGAAAGGGGGCCAAACUGGCUGGAGAUUCGAACAGGGUAAGGAAGAAUUAUGGGAGAUAUGCUCUGACCAACAAAAAUGUGUUUUUCAAUUUGCCAACAGCUAAGAGGGCUAAAGUAAGGCAAGUUCUUAUUAUGUGGACGAAUGAUGAUGAAGAAAGUGUCUUAUACCCUCAUGAGGAUGCAUUGGUGAUUAAGGCAAUGGUGGCGGGAAAAGAAUUCCAGCGAAUAUUGGUGGAUACAGACAGCUCAAUUGACAUACUCUUUAAAUCAACCUUGGAUGAGAUGGGAAUUGCGGACUUGAAAUUGGAGCAGACGAACAUAUCUUUUAAGGGAUUCAGAGGAGGACGGUUAACCCCCAUAGGGGUCGUCGAGCUGCGAGUUAUUGUGGGAUCAAGGCCGUUUGAAAAGACGGUGAUACUGGAUUUUGUCGUGGUGGAAGAAAGGAGCCCUUAUCAGAUAAUACUUUGGCGGCCGUUUAUGAUAGUGAGCCAAUGUGUUAUAUCCACACAUUACUUAGCUUUGAAGUACAUAGUAAACAGGGUUGUGGGCAUAGUAAAGGGUGACCAAAGAAUGGCAAAGAGUUGCUAUGCUACAGCCGCCAAGGAAACCUUACAAGUUACGGCGCUUGAUAGCCGAUGAGAUUCUAGAAAGGGUCGCCAUGAACCAGUUGAGACGUUGGAAGAGGUGAUAGUUAACCAGGACGAUCCGAGCAGAAUAGUAAAGAUCGAGUCGGAGUUAGGCGAAGCAAUAAGAGGCGAGCUGAUAAAAUACCUUCAGUCCCAUGCAAAUAUAUUUGCCUAGUCGUACGAAGAAAUGCCAGGAAUUGAUCCUGGGGUGGCUUGCCAUAAGUUGGCAAUUAAGAAAGGUGCAAGGCCGGUGAGGCAGAAAAGAAGAUGUUUUAACCAAGAGAUGUACGAGGCCAUAAAAGCUGAAGUAGAAAAGCUGUUGCGAGCAGGAUUCAUAAGGGAGGCUAAAUACCCAGAGUGAAUUUCUAAUGUAGUGUUGGUAAAAAAACCCAACGAGAUAUAGAGGAUGUGUGUGAAUUUUACAGAUCUCAACAAGGCAUGCCCGAAGGAUGGCUUCCCCCUACCUAAAAUAGAUCAAUUGGUUGAUUCAACGGCAGGUCACAGUCUGCUAAGUUUUAUGGAUACUUUUUUCGGAUACAACCAGAUACCCAUGGACAAGCAGGAUGAAGAGUACUACAUUUAUAACUAACAUGAGUUUGUUUUGCUACAGGACGAUGCCCUUUGGCUUGAAAAAUACAAGUGCUACUUAUCAAAGGUUGGUGAAUAAAAUUUUCAAGCUGCUAAUUAGUCAUACCAUAGAAGUAUACGUGGAUGAUAUGAUUACGAAGUCUAAAAAGCCAGUAGACCAUGUGAAGCACUUGGAAGAGACCUUUGACCUACUGAGGAAAUAUCAUAUGAAGCUAAAUCCCGAGAAAUGUGCAUUUGGCAUUAGUUCGGACAAGUUCUUGGGAUUUUUGGUAAGCCAUCGGGGAAUUGAAGCUAAUCUAGAGAAGAUACAAGCCGUAGUGGAAAUAAAAUCUCCCCAAACUGUCAAGGAGGUGCAGAGCCUUACAAGGAAGCUGGCUGCACUACACCGAUUUAUUUCAAGAGCCACGGAUAAAUGUCAACCUUUUUCCAAACCAUAAAGAAAUGGAGGAAAAUAGAGUGGACAGUAGAAUGUGAGGAGGCGUUUGGGCAACUGAAGGAGUAUCUUGCCAGUGCCCCAUUGUUAUCAACUCCGAGAGAGGGUGAUGAGUUGUAUUUAUACUUGGUUGUCUCCAAGUGGGCUAUCAGCUCGGUCUUAGCAAGAGAGGACGAGAGAAACCAACACCCAGUGUACUACACUAGCAAAGCCCUGGUGGACGCCGAAACCAGAUAUCCAAUGAUGGAGAAAUUGGCGUUGGCUUUAGUAACGCCAACACACAAGCUCAGACCAUAUUUUCAAGCCCACCCGAUAAUAGUGCUGACUGACCAAGCUCUUCGGCAAACGCUCCUAAAACCAUAUGCAUCUAGUCGGUUAGUGAAAUGGUCUGUAGAGCUGAGUGAAUUCGACUUAACUUACAAACCUCAAGGAGCAAUCAAAACUCAAGCCUUAGCCGAUUUUAUGGUUGACCGUACGGAACCAGGGGAAGGGGUUCAGGAGGAACAAUCGGUUGAACCAGAGAAACCAGAAGGGUGUGGCUGGUAAUGGUUGAUGGGUCACGUAGUGAACAAUAGUCCGAAGCAGGAGUAGUAAUACGAAGCCCAGAAGAGGCUGAAGUGUCCUACACAGUAGAAUUCGAAUUUCAGCUCACUAGUAAUCAGGCGGAAUAUGAAGCCCUCAUCACUGGGCUCGGGUUGGCACAUGCAUUACGAGCAUAAAGGGUAGAGAUCCAAACAGAUUCCCAGUUGGUUUGUAAUCAGCUCAACGAGCAAUUUCAAGCAAGGGAAGAGAAGAUAGAGCUUUAUUUGAAGAAAGCAAAGCGAAUGAUUGAGCUCUUCCGAGAAGUAGAAAUAAAGCAGAUAUCCAAGACAGAGAAUUACCAGGCAGAUAUGUUGGCCAGAAUGGCCACAAUUGCGGAUCGGAAGUUACCCAAGUCGAUCCCAUUGGAAGUAAAGACCUCGCCAAGUAUAAGGGAGGAAGUAGAAGUAAUUCGAAUGAGCACCGAAAGAUCCUGGAUAGACCAAAUUCUCUCAUACAUCCGCGAUAGCAUUUUAUCAGAGGAUAGGAAGCAAACAAGGAAGUUGAAGUGUCGGGCAACAAGGUACACGUUACUCGAUGGGGUACUUUAUCGCCAAGGAUUCACUUUACCCAUCUUGAGAUGUUUGGAUGGUGAGGAAGCAAAUUAUGUGCUGAGGGAAAUUCAUGAAGGAGUAUGCAGCAACCAAUCAAGGGCCAAGACUUUGGCUUUCAAGGCACUUUGGCAAGGGUAUUUUUGGCCGACUAUGCACCAGGAUGCAAAGGGGAUAACAAAAAAUUGUAGAGUCUGCCAAAACUUCUCGGAUGUUCCUGCUCAGCAGGCUAACCGCUAUGUCAUCCCCAUAGCCUUUUGUCUAGUUGGGGAUUGACUUGAUCAGUCCAUUACCCAAAGGCCGAGGAGCUGCAACACAUGCAAUUGUGGUUAUAAAUUAUUUCACAAAAUAGGUGGAAGUGGAGGCACUUAGUCAAAUCACAGACAAGAAGACAACUAAUUUUAUUUGGAAAAAUAUCAUUUGUAGAUACAGAAUCUCUUAUGCCAUAAUAACUGACAAUGGGAGACAAUUUGACAACCACAAUUUCAGAGAAUUUUGCCAAAACUUGGGCGUAGAUUUGAAGUUUUGUACUCCAGCACAUCCUCAGGCAAAUGGGCAAGUAGAGGCAGCCAACAAAGUUAUAAAGAAGCUCUUGAAAACCAGGCUGGAAGAAAAGAAUGGAACUUGGAUCGACGAGUUACCACGAGUGUUAUAGGCCUAUCGGACAACCCAUAAAACCGCUACGGGAGAAACCCUAUUUGCUUUAGCCUUCAGUCAUGAGGCAGUAAUCCCAGCAGAGAUUGGGGUAGGAACGCAUCGGACAGAAUAUUUCAACGAAGAACAUAAUGACGAGCAGAUAUGCAUGAGCCUAAACCUGUUGGAAGAAAGAAGAGAAAGAGCCUCACAAAAAAUAGCCCAAUGUCAACAAAGCAUAAUGCGCUACUACAACAAUAUAUACGCAUAAGGCAGUUCCAAGCCAGGGAUUGAGUACUUAGAAAAGUGAACCAGAACACAAGAGAUCCUAACCAAGGCAUCUUGGCCCGAACUGGGAGGGUCCGUACAAGGUAGUGCGAACGACUGGCCUAGGAGCCUAUAAACUGGCCUAUCCAGAUGGACGAGAGGUAAAGAGGCUAUGGAACGUUGAGCAUUUGAAAAAGUAUUUCCAGUAAGUAAAGUGCUUUAUCAAGUUUCAUUCCGCUAAGUUAUUUCUGUUAAAUGUAUUAUGGAAUUGUAGCAUGCGCGUGUAUUUCGCCUCUUGUAAUCCAGAAAAAGUUCAAUAAAGAUGAAUUUAUCACAAAAUUUCAUUGUUAGACUAAAUUUGUUAAGGUAAGCAAGUGUCUAUUCAUAUUCGGUCGUCUAAAGGACCAGCAGCAAAGUCUACGAAAUUUGUUAAAGCAAGCGAGUGCCAAUUCCUGCUCGGUUGUCUAAAGGACCAGCAGGCAAAAUCUACAAAAUUUGUUAAGGUAAACAAGUGCCAAUUCUUGCUCGAUCGUCUAAAGGACCAACAUGCAAAGUUUACGAAAUUUGUUAAGGCAAGCAAGUGUUUAUUCCUGCUCGAUCGUCUAAAUGACCAACAGGCAAAGUCUACGAAAUUUGUUAAGGCAAGCAAGUGCUAAUUCCUGCUCAGUUGUCUAAAGGACCAGCAAGUAAAAUCUACAAAAUUUACUAAGGCAAACGGAUGUCAAUUCCUGCUCGGUCGUCUAAGGACGGGCAGGCAAAAUAAAUAAUUUUACUAAAGGAUUGCCUCUUCCUACCCAGCUUCUUAUAGAGAAGCAAGCACAAUUAACAAUAUAAUUCGCAGAAACGAUUAGAACUAUAAUAAGAAAGUAGUUAGAAAGCAUCAAAAGCUUAUAAAAGCCCAAAUAUUGACAAGCAAACAAAAAAUUCAGAAUUUACACAGAAAACAAAUUUAUGGACUGUGAGGUUCAGCAAUCCCGGUAGAAGGGGAAUUCGCAAUCUCAGAAAGAGAAGGACCAGCGACUGUCGGAGGAGCAAGUGUUGACCCCUGACCUGUUCCCAAAGGUUGACCUCCUGCUUCCUUUUCCUGUUCCUCACUCGAAGAAGCCUCGACCUAAUCCUGGUCCUCCGGGUCCUUACUCCCCCGGCCUUGCUCAGCCAUAUACUCUUGCACCCCUGCCUCCAGCUUACUCAUGUUCAACUCUGGAUAUUCCUUAUUGAGCACGAACAUGAUGCACUUGUAGCAAAAGGCAAGUCCCGAAUUUUACUCUACAUCCAGACGGUCGUCCACAGCAACAUAUUUACCCGUCAACUCAUUUAUCUGCUCAUUCAAAGACUUGAUUUGCUCGUCAUAAGCAGUCCCCAAAGUGUCUCGCUCGUUGCGAGUAGUCUCGAGAUCAGACUUCAAAUCACCAAACUCGCUCUCAAGCUUAGAGGACUUGGAUUCAGCAAAGGCAACCUUCUCCGCCAGGUCCAGGAUUUGCCUGUGUGCAACUCGAGCAUCUUCUCCUUCGAGCGAUCAGCGGACUCACCCUUUUUUUUCAAGUCCUGGUUGUCCGCCUGAAGCUUCCUCUCGUGUCACACAGACCUGCCCCUGUAGCAAGAAACCAAAGUAGCAAGUUUGAAUGCCACCCUUUGGACAGAGCCUCCCAGCUCGACAAGAGUCAUGCCUUCGAUGUCUUUGACCAUUUUAGGCCCCACUGACUUGUUGUAAUCCUUCUUAUAUGGAGUCAAGUAGUCACCCUGGCCCCAAGUUGGAAGAUAGGAGGACCGAUCUCCAGAUUGAGCACUGACCUCAGGGCAUUGUCGUGAAGCUUCUCUCCGCUAUUCUUGCGAGGCGGAGGGGGAGACAGAGUAGGGGGCUGUGGCCUUUUAAGGACCAAAAUGACUUUUCUUCUGAGGUGUGGUUGCGUUGCUAGAAUCACCUGGACCCCGAGCACGCUUCCUUGACAUGACACUAAGGAUCUUGUUAUCCAUUCCAGCAACGACGUCCACAAGACCAGAUCCAAGGAGGUUUGUCGGCGAUAAGAGGUCCUGACAAUGGGAGGCGUUCACCAGAGCGGUCUCAACCUUUAAUAGCGGUUUGUCGUCAAGUUUUCUGAUAAGGCCCCACCGAGUCUGAAAACAUAGACAAGGUUAAAGAAAUAAAUAAGUGAUAACCAGGAACGUGAGGCAUAAAAUAAAAUAAACGACCUAGGGUAACAAAACGCGUUGGAAGGUAAAUAUCACCACCAAGCGAAUGGAUCGCUGGGCACUAAUUCCUCCUGCAAAGAAGAAUUUAUUCUUCCAAUUUUUACACGGGAAAGGACAUCCAACGACUGGUUUCCUCUUUGCAGAGCUCGACAUGAAGUAAUACAAACCCACCUCUUUAGGACUGCUCCUCUGCUGAUACAAAUGUUUUACUUCCACGAGGGAAGGCUCCCCGAGCUCACACCUUUCCCAUAGUACAAACAAGGCCGAAAGAACCCUCCACCCGUUUGGGUGAAGCUGACUUGGAGCCAGAUGAAUGCCACCCAAUAUCCUGGCAAAAUGAGGUUAAAGGGGCAACUGAGCCCCUAAUUUGAAGCUCUCUAGAUGCAGCGUCACAUACCCCUUAAGAGGCCAACUGGGAACAUCACUUUUCCCAGGGAUAGUAAGGAGGACGUUCUCGUGGAUAUUAUAAAGAUUUCUUAGCUUGAACAGAUCAGUGUGGGUAGUAGCACAAGUAAUAUAGUCAAUGGGGUAAGCAUCUGCCUCCAUCCUAUGACCGAGGUUUCUCUUCUUAGAGGGUCUACUCGACUCGAAACUGCUCUCCUCACCAUCACCCUCUUCCUCAGGGACCCCAGCCCCCUCAGAACUGUGAUUUUCACCAAAAUCCGAUGCUUGUCCACCACAGUUUCUCAUAAGCUCAUAAUCAAGGGAAGGCAAAAUGAUUUUGGGACGAGAGUACUCAAGGAUAUCCCUAUUAUAAGAAGGGCCUACGCUGCUAAAAGAGUAUAAGGGAUCAGUGGGUCUUAACAAGUUGGGGUACGAAUCAUCUACCUCUUCAUCACUGUCAUCUAUAAUUAAUUUUCCCCUUCGUCUUGACAUAGUGAAAUCUUAAAAGGAAAAAGUACAACAAAUCCAAAUAUAUUGGUACAAAAGGGACAAUACAAAACCCAAGCAAUAACAACUAGAAAAGAAGUUAAAGGCGAUACCUGGAAUAGAUCGACACUAGUGGCGUUGCGGUGACGGAGAAAGAGCCCGGCAAAAGGAAGUCUCCGGUGCGGAAAGCAUGUUUAAGGUCCAAAGGAGUUGGCUUUACGCCAGAAUGAUAGAUAACGAGAUGCAAUGGCAAUUCCAAUUUAGGGAUUUAAGACAAAAGGGGGAACGGAGGCGUUUAAGUUACGCGGAUGUCAGCUCAAUCGCCGCAUAUCGAGGACAGAUAAGUGACCGUUUCAAAUUUCGAAUACAGAAGGACAAAAAGUGACACGUCACUGACCAUUAAGAUGGCAUGGUGAGGUUUCAGCCCAGCUGCGUAUUGGAUACGCUCACGAAAGCCCAUUCUCAGGCCAGAAACUCUCUAAACAGAAAGAAUUAUCUCGGGUCCAUCACAGUAAUCAAGACGACAUGAUGGGGUGUCUGCCCAGCUGCAUAUGGGAUACGCUCAUGAAGGCCCACACUCGGGCCAAAAACUCUCUAAACAAAAGACAUCACCUCGAGUCCAUCACAAUAAAACAAGGACCGGAGGGAUGUUGCCUGAGGUUAGCCAGAUCCAAUUCUUAGUUUCUAAUCUCAACUCGUUUCACUCCAAGACCAGAAAUUGGGGGACUGGUGUUGAGUAAUGAAAAGUACCCAUCAGACAUCUCUCCAUCCUCACCCUGAGGCAAAUCUCCCCAGCUGAGCCUCAUAAGCCAAUUUCUAGUAAACAUCCUAUAUGAAACAUAUGCCGACUAGAAACAAUGUAUAUACCGACCAGAUACUCGUCAGUCAAAGAAAGCAGACACGAUCUCACAAACUCACGAUAGUUGCGCCAUGCUCCAAACCGCUGGGGAGGACAUGACAUCCCACGUUCACCCACGACUCGAGGGUUAGAAAUCCAUUAAAGCCCAUCAUCACCCGAGAAUAAGGGGCAUUAAGAAUGCUAGGAAAAACGUGGGAUGGUUGCCUAUAAAAGGCCAAGAAAUUAAUGAAGAAAGGACAACUACAAUGAAAUAAAUUUUUUCCUAUAUCUAAUUGCAUAGGUCACAAGAAAUAUAGCACUAAAAAAGAUCAAAUGAAAAUUCAGGACUAAUUAUUUACUUUCCUUAUUGCAUCAAUUUGAGGGGCAAAACAGAGGGCUAAGAAAUCGAUUCUAAAAACUAACUAGAAGCUAAAAAAGGGUAUCCUGAGCAAUUGGAUCACGAAAUCUUGGUGAUCUUCUCUAUCUAAUGAAUGGGGAGUCCGCUUUGAAAUCGUCUGCCCUUCUUUUCAAUUUUAAUGGAAAUAGUAAGAAAAAUAGAACCGAAAAGAAAGAGAAGGAAUAGGAAAGGGCCGUAUAGACCCAUUUGAAAUUUAAAACGAAUCAGUCGUACGUGGACGGUAGUUGGAGUCGGCGGCUCUCUUAGGGUUCCCUCAUCUGGGAUCCCUGGGGAAGAGGAUCAAGUUGGCCCUUGCGAACAGCUUGAUGAGUUGGAGCCAGGACUUCCUUUCGCACUAUUACGGAUACGAAAUUAAUGGGAAAAAUUGGAUUCAAUUGUCAACUGCUCCUAGAAAUAGGAUUGACAAUGCAGCUUCUGAAUAUCCGGAGGUAUAUUAUUAUUUGUUAAAUAAGAAUCAGAUUUGGCAGCUCGAAUAAUCUACAAAGAAUUAUGUGAGUAUCAAGAUGAUCACAUUUGGAAUACUAUGCAAAGCUGCAAACAGAAAUGUGGUGAAGAAUUUCAAUAAACACACCAGAUAAUCCUCCCACAUGCUAGCUAUCUCUCCCAGACUAGCUUCUGAAAUGUUUAAGUGCUCUGGCAGCUGUACUGAGUUCAUUAGGAAGAUCUUUUAUGACUUACAUCAUUAGCCAAAGAGUUAUUUAAAUUAUCUUCAUCAAAACCAUCAGAAGAGUUGCUGCAGGCAAAGAAAGUAGAAAACAGACCACAGAAUUCGAUUGUUAAGACAUUGAUGCAGAGACAAACAGCUAACAUCCAAAAUGGGAAAGGGAGGAACCUAGAAUCUUGCCAAAAUGACCGUUUAUCAAGAUAUGGAACUACAAUAGUGGCAUUUAUGAUACAAGCUACAGCUACCAUGUCGCAUAUCUGCAACUCAAACAUUUAGACUAUAACUCAGCUCUCAAUAAUAGCCACAAAAUAUAUUUAGCAAAGCAGUUGACGCUAAGCAAGAGGAAACAGAAAAACAUAUAUUAGAAAAACUACUUUUUUUAUAGUUAGUGGACCAAACACUAGAAGACGCACCAAUCAACUAAACUAACACCUUUUGCAUUUAAAUUGUCUAAAAUACUAUCAAUAGAAGGAGGAAACGUAGCAGGAAAAGCAAAGCAAUUUCAAGCAGUAAGCUUAUAGAUGGUUAAUGAGAAAAGUAUUCUAAGUGAGUACAACAGAUAAAUAUUUGUAGUUCAUCCAAUCCGACACUCACAGAUAGGAACCAGGUUAUGCUUAUGCAAAAAAAAAUACAAAUACAUUAUAUUCAUACUUUUAGUACUAAUGAUAAUAAUCAUAUCUAGAUGAUAUUAACCUAAAAUGAAGAAAUAUAAAAAGAUGCAUAAAUGGUUUCUGCUGUUCUCUUUUAACCAAUGUAUGAAUCAAUUUCCAAAAAUAUGUAAACGAAUAAACAUUAAAAUAGAACUCAGAAACGGACAUUAUAACAGGUCAAAAUGGAAUCAUUCACUGAAGCAUUCCAGGUGUAUAUUUUGUAACUUCUCAAUUCACCAUAUCAGAAAAUAAAGAGCUUCCUAGCAAUGGGAUAAUUACACAGACAAAAUGGAAACUUAUGGAUAGACGAAAACAAAAAUACAAACCUGAGCACGCAUCUGGUUGAAUCCAGUUAGCCAUCUGAUGUUGUCUCCAGUAAAUCUCCUAUACAUUUUCCUUACAGAUUAAAUAUUUUGUCCAAGAGAAGUAAGGUUCAAAAUCCAAACAACAACUUCAAAAUCAGUGAAAUCAAACGACAAAUAAGCUUCAAAAUUUAACUAAUUCGUUACCAAAACCCACUGAAACGCUAAAUAGAGAUAAUCUUUAUUUGAUCAAAUUAAGUCACUCACUUCAACCUAUUAAAUAAGAGAUAAGAAAUAACAAUAUGAACAAAUACCUAGGGUUUAUUCAAGAAAAACUCCAGCGCUGAAAAAAGGGCUAGGAAUUCUUUAAUAAGGACAACGACGCGACAGCUGCAGGCUCGACUUUGUCCGUCAAAAGGACAUAGCAUGGCGGCGGCAAGGAACGGCUAUCAUCGGCUCAAAAUAAUGGCAACAAGGAACAACGGUGUAAAUCAAACGGCUAUCAUCGGCGAGUCAAUGACCGGCCAAAAUGACGGUGAGAACGGCCGGAUUCGUAGGGGAAUUUCAGUGAGACCUUCAAGCUGUCCAAGUUGUUUUCCGAUCAAUCAUUUUAGUGGCUGUAAUUUUUUUUUUUUUCCCCCGUGGUUUCUUCUAAUUUGAUGUAGAGUUUUGCUUUAUUUGAGUUUUAGGGUCAGUGGAGAGCGAGGGAAUCAAUUGUGUUAAGAGAAGGAAG
rnacentral:lncRNA from 1 species